GAGCUUGCUCCUGAAUUCAGCGGCGGACGGGUGAGUAAUGCCUAGGAAUCUGCCUGGUAGUGGGGGACAACGUUUCGAAAGGAACGCUAAUACCGCAUACGUCCUACGGGAGAAAGCAGGGGACCUUCGGGCCUUGCGCUAUCAGAUGAGCCUAGGUCGGAUUAGCUAGUUGGUGAGGUAAUGGCUCACCAAGGCGACGAUCCGUAACUGGUCUGAGAGGAUGAUCAGUCACACUGGAACUGAGACACGGUCCAGACUCCUACGGGAGGCAGCAGUGGGGAAUAUUGGACAAUGGGCGAAAGCCUGAUCCAGCCAUGCCGCGUGUGUGAAGAAGGUCUUCGGAUUGUAAAGCACUUUAAGUUGGGAGGAAGGGCAGUAAAUUAAUACUUUGCUGUUUUGACGUUACCGACAGAAUAAGCACCGGCUAACUCUGUGCCAGCAGCCGCGGUAAUACAGAGGGUGCAAGCGUUAAUCGGAAUUACUGGGCGUAAAGCGCGCGUAGGUGGUUUGUUAAGUUGGAUGUGAAAGCCCCGGGCUCAACCUGGGAACUGCAUUCAAAACUGACAAGCUAGAGUAUGGUAGAGGGUG
rnacentral:rRNA from 1 species